GACGAACGCUGGCGGCGUGCUUAACACAUGCAAGUCGAACGGUAAGGCCCUUCGGGGUACACGAGUGGCGAACGGGUGAGUAACACGUGGGUGAUCUGCCCUGCACUUUGGGAUAACACAGGGAAACCUGUGCUAAUACCGAAUAUUGAAACAUAAGUGGCAGCACUGAGUUUUGAAAGAAUUUCGGUGGAGGAUGACUUCGCGGCCUAUCAGCUAGUUGGUGAGGUAAUGGCUCACCAAGGCAACGACGGGUAGCCGGCGUGAGAGGGCGACCGGCAAGACUGGGAGUGAGACAAGGCCCAGUAUCCUACGGGAGGCAGCAGUGGGGAAUAUUGGGCAAUGGAGGAAACUCUGACCCAGCGACGCCGCGUGCGGGAUGAAGGCCUUCGGGUUGUAAACCGCUUUCAGUAGGGAAGAAGCGAAAGUGACGGUACCUACAAAAGAAGCACCGGCUAACUAUGUGCCAGCAGCCGCGGUAA
rnacentral:rRNA from 1 species